rnacentral:rRNA from 1 species
UACGGGGGGUGCGAGCGUUGUCCGGAAUCAUUGGGCGUAAAGGGCGCGUAGGUGGCCCGGUCAGUCUUUGGUGAAAGCGCGGGGCUCAACCCUGCGUCGGCCAGGGAUACUGCCGCGGCUCGAGCACUGUAGAGGCAGGCGGAAUUCCGGGUGUAGCGGUGGAAUGCGUAGAGAUCCGGAAGAACACCGGUGGCGAAGGCGGCCUGCUGGGCAGUUUAGCUGACACUGAGGCGCGACAGCGUGGGGAGCAAACAGG